GACGAACGCUGGCGGCGUGCUUAACACAUGCAAGUCGAGCGGAGCGGCGAACGGGUGAGUAAAGCGUGAGUAACUGCCCCCCUCCCUGGGAUAACAGUUGGAAACGGCUGCUAAUACCGGAUAGUGGGGGAUGACUCGCGGCGUAGCAGCUUGUUGGUGGGGGAGGGGCCUACCAAGGCGACGACGGGUAGCCGGCCUGAGAGGGCGACCGGCCACAUUGUGCUGCGAUACGGACCAAACUCCUACGGGGGGCAGCAGUGGGGAAUAUUGCACAGUGGUGGAAACCCUGAUGCGGCAACGUCGCGUGCGGGAUGACGGCCUUCGGGUUGUAAACCGCUUUCAGCCAUGACGCGGUAGUGGCAGAAGAAGCACCGGCUAACUACGUGCCAGCAGCCGCGGUAAUAC
rnacentral:rRNA from 1 species